UACAGAGGUCUCAAGCGUUGUUCGGAUUCAUUGGGCGUAAAGGGUGCGUAGGCGGCGCGGUAAGUCGGGUGUGAAAUCUCGGAGCUUAACUCCGAAACUGCAUUCGAUACUGCCGUGCUUGAGGACUGGAGAGGAGACUGGAAUUUACGGUGUAGCGGUGAAAUGCGUAGAUAUCAGGAGGAACACCGGUGGCGAAGGCGGUUCUCUGGGCAUGUCCUGACGUGAGGAGCGAAAGUGUGGGGAGCGAACAGG
rnacentral:rRNA from 1 species